rnacentral:rRNA from 1 species
GAGUGAAGAGGGACAAGCUCAAAUUUUAAAUCCAUCGGGUUUUACCCGAUCGAGUUGUAAUUUGAAGAGGCGUUUUCUGUGUUUCUGAUCAGUCCAAGUCCUUAGGGAUAAGGCAUCAUGGAGGGUGAGAAUCCCGUCCGGUUGAUCAGAUUCGCUUUACGAUACGCUUUCUAAGAGUCAAGUUGUUUGGGAUUGCAGCUUAAAAUGGGAGGUAAAUUUCUCCUAAGGCUAAAUAACGGCGAGAGACCGAUAGCGAACAAGUACCGUGAGGGAAAGAUGAAAAGAACUUUGAAAAGAGAGUUAAACAGUACGUGAAAUUGUUGAAAGGGAAACGAUUGAAGCCAGUCGUACCUUCGGGUAAUCAGCCUUUCGGGUGCGAUUCUGUGGAGUGUGAGGAGCUUAACACCUUCAUGCUUUGCAUAUUUGUGCUCUUGGGUGUACUUGCCCGUGUGGUUGGUUAACAUCAAUUUUGGUUAUCAUAAAAUGAUUGGAGGAAUGUAGCUUCGAUCUCGUAUUGAAGUGUUAUAGCCUUCGGUAGAUGUGAUGAUCGAGAUUGAGGAUUGCAACGGAUACCCUUCGGGGCUACCUGUCUGGUCUCUGAUCGUUGCUCUGGUGCCGAAAGCUUGCUUACGGUUAUCAAAGUCGGUGGUCAAUAGGUUAGAACGGGUUAAAUUCGUUA